rnacentral:rRNA from 1 species
AGAAAGUGGAGCAAUCCAUGAGUAAAGUGGCGACCGGGUGAGUAACACGUGACUAACCUACCUCCGAGUGGGGAAUAACUCCGGGAAACCGGGGCUAAUACCGCAUAACAUCGCAAGAUCAAAGCAGCAAUGCGCUUGGAGAGGGGGUCGCGGCUGAUUAGCUAGUUGGUAGGGUAACGGCCUACCAAGGCGAAGAUCGGUAUCCGGCCUGAGAGGGCGCACGGACACACUGGAACUGAAACACGGUCCAGACUCCUACGGGAGGCAGCAGUGGGGAAUUUUGCGCAAUGGGGGAAACCCUGACGCAGCAACGCCGCGUGGAGGAUGAAGCCCCUUGGGGCGUAAACUCCUUUCGACCAAGACGAUAAUGACGGUACUGGUGGAAGAAGCACCGGCUAACUCUGUGCCAGCAGCCGCGGUAAUACAGAGGGUGCAAGCGUUGUUCGGAAUUAUUGGGCGUAAAGGGCGCGUAGGCGGUGCCACAAGUCACCUGUGAAAUCUCCGGGCUUAACUCGGAGCCUGCAGGCGAAACUGUGGUGCUGGAGUGUGGGAGAGGUGCGUGGAAUUCCCGGAGUAGCGGUGAAAUGCGUAGAUAUCGGGAGGAACACCUGUGGCGAAAGCGGCGCACUGGACCAUAACUGACGCUGAUGCGCGAAAGCUAGGGGAGCAAACAGGAUUAGAUACCCUGGUAGUCCUAGCCCUAAACGAUGAUUGCUUGGGUGUAGCAGGUACCCAAUCCUGCUGUGCCGUAGCUAACGCGAUAGCAAUCCGCCUGGGGAGUACGGUCGCAAGGCUGAAACUC